ACCCCUUCCUGCCCUUCAUCUUCAUCGUCCUCAUCGGCUUUAUGGUCCUCAUCCCCCACAGCGCCUUCCUGCCCUUCAUCCCCCAGAGCCCCUUCCUGCCCUUCAUCUUCAUCGUCCUCAUCAGUUUUAUCGUCCUCAUCCCCAGAGCCCCUUCCUGCCCUUCAUCGCCUUCGUCCCCCUCAUCGGCUUUAUUGUCCUCAUCCCACUCAUCCCCAACAUCCCCUUCCUGCCCUGCACCGUCUUUGUCCCCCUCAUCAUCAGCUUCAUCGUCCUCAUUGGCUUUAUCAUGCUCAUCCCCCUCAUCCCCAAAGCCCUUUCCUGCCCUUCAUCACCCUCAUCCCCCUCAUCUCCAACAACCCCUUCCUGCCCUUCAUCGGAUUCAUCACCCUCGUUGCCUUCAUCAUCCCUCACUGCCCCCUCAUUGCCCUCAUCCCUAAUGCCCCCUUCCUGCCCCUCAUCGUCUUCAUCACCCUCAUUGCUCUCAUCUCCAACAGCCUCUUCCUGCCCUUCAUCUCCUUCGUCCCCAACAGCCCCUUUUGCCUUCAUCCUCUACGUUGCCUUCAUGCCCAACAUCCACAGGAGCCCCUUCAUCACCUUCAUUCCAUUUGUUCCCUUCAACCCCUUCCUCCCCUUCAUCACCUUCAUUCUUAUAUCAACACGUUCUCUAAAUCUUUCUCCCCUUUUUCUUAAUAUCUUUUCAUCUUUUUGUAGUAAAGCUGUUCCACAGGUUUCUCACCUGUGACUGAAAUUUAAAAAAAAAGCCUAGGAGGUGGCUGAGAGGAAAUUAUUUGGGUCACUGGGGUGAUGUGGGGACUGACCCUCACAGCCCUGAGGGGCCCAGGCUGUCACUGGCUUGGGACCCAUUUGUGCUGCACAUAAAUUGUACUGUUCCAUCUAAACCAAGUUUUUUGCUCUGCUGUUUCUGAGCAAGUACCUGAGAGGAAAAAAAAACCCUCCAUAAUCACUUGCUGGGAGAUGUCUGUAUUUGUACUGCAGGACAUAACAGUGUGUCUGCCCUUAAUUUCUCUCUCCCCUGUAUGUUCUAUUCAUAAUGCAGUCAAAGAUGUAUUCCUCCCAAGCUAGGACUUUUUACCUUGAAUUUGUUGAGAAUUUGCCAUUUUCCCAGGGAAAAAUCCCCAAUUUAAAUCCACAGGACAUUAAUACAUUUAGAGAAGAGCUGUGAUCCCAAGGCUUGUUUCACACAAGAGAUGACUCCUGGCCAAAACUGAUCAUUGCCCUCUCCAGAACAGCUGCUGAGAUCUUCAGUCCAGCAGGAAAAACACGCCUUAAAUGAACUCUUGUAAGAAUUGCUGUAUUGAUGUCCAGAACUAUUAUAAAUAUUGAUGUAUCAAGUCACUGCUUUCAUAGUUACUACUGCUGUGUAUCUUCCCCACAGACACAAAUGCAAGGGGACAACUCUGUUUAUGAUAUUUUUUAGUGACAUCUGGCAUUCUCACAGGAAGCCUGGUGCCUGCUUGUCUGUUCGGGGGAGCCACAUUCAUGACUCAAAGCCAAGCUGCAAAAGGGAACAUUAUUGUUACUAACUCUAAAGGAAUGAAUAUGAUCAGGAGUGAGGACUUGAAGUUAAAAGCAAGUGUUGAUUUAUUGAGUGUCGUUCUCUGUGAAUAAAAGUCAAGCUUGGCCAGCUGGUGAAAGUAUGGAGCUGUUGUUUCCUCGUGUGCUCUCAUGCAUAGGAAAUCUCCUGACCUUGGCCUUGGUCGUACUGAUCACUCAUUUCAGCUCACAGAAGGAUUUGCCCUGGGACAAUGUGCUGUUUGACUUCUCACAAAGCAGAAAAGCUCCCCUCUUCCACAGAAAUUCUACCAAAAACCUGCGUAGCUUGUGUUCAACCCACCUUUGAGCUCCUGAACUAGUAAUGGGAAGUUGGAUAAUGAGACAGCUCAGUCACAGAAUGCUGCAGUAGAUUCAUGUGAAAUACAAACAUCUGUGUGCAUCUUUAGUCUGCAUUUCCCAAACGUUUGUAUCAUGAAAUUACAGAUUAAUUAAAUUAAGGAUUCAGUAACAGAUAGAUAUGUAACAAAUGUGCAAGAUUUUAAUGAAUUUUCCAUUGUUUCUUGAGGUUUGCUUGAAGCUGACUGGAAUGUUCUGCUCUUGAGAUUUCUAGGCAGCAAGGUGUAUGAAUCAUCAGAAUAUUGAAUGUAUCAGAGCAGCAGCAGUUGCUGGAUUUUCAAAGUAAGAGAUAUCUUUUGGUUC